rnacentral:rRNA from 1 species
UACGUAGGGUGCAAGCGUUGUCCGGAAUUAUUGGGCGUAAAGAGCUCGUAGGCGGUCUGUUGCGUCGGCUGUGAAAACCCGGGGCUCAACUCCGGGCCUGCAGCCGAUACGGGCAGACUAGAGUUCGGCAGGGGAGACUGGAAUUCCUGGUGUAGCGGUGAAAUGCGCAGAUAUCAGGAAGAACACCGGUGGCGAAGGCGGCUCUCUGGGCCUUACCUGACGCUGAGGAGCGAAAGCGUGGGUAGCGAACAGG